ensembl:lncRNA
AUGGGGAUGCUCUCACUACAGAACGUCAGGACUGUCACAAAGCCCGGGCGUGGCCGGCUGGGUGCCCUCCACCGCCGCGUUUGUAGCAGGUCCUCAGACCCCGCUGGGCGCACACAGAACACGCUUCCUAGCAAGGCGAGGGGGCCAUCUGUCAUCCUGCCACAGAGCCCGGCUCAGCCAGACGUCUCAUUUCACUUCUCCUUCCAAGGACGCGGCUCAGAGGGCCGGCUCACGGCUCGGGUUCCGUGGAGCCCUGGACAGAGCGCCAAACUGGAGCCAGCAGGCAAGGCCCAGGGUCGACCUCGCUGUGCAACCCCGGGGCAGUCACUGCGUGUCUCUGGGCCUUGGGUCUUCAUCUCUAAAGGAGGGAGCCGGACUCUCCCAUCGCCAAGGUCCACGCCUCUCUCUCUCCCUCUCUUAGGGCCGCAAAGGGGGAAAUGGCCAUGUCGGUUCUGCUUGGCCACCGCCUGGCCGGCCGCCCCAGAGCCGUAAGUGAACAGAGCUGAAACACAGUUCCUGGUCAGCAGAGGCUGGCAUAGGGACGGACCGAGGCUGGAGACCCGGGACAGUCGGGCAAGAAUCAGAGAAGCUCGGAGACCAGCUCUCCUCGUCCUGCGGAGAUAAAGCCGGGCCGGGGUGGGGGGCGGGGGGAGAGCGGCAGGUGGACCCAAGCAGCACGAGGGGAGAACACUAAAGGCGAGGCGGCUCCCAGCACUGCGGUGACCCCAACGGUGGCUCCCGGCCGCCAUCAGAGAGACUGUCUCCAUCAGCUGGUGCUGAGAACAAAACCCGGCCUGCUGUCUUUCCCAUGGAAACCUGUGUUUCCAGAUGUUCCUUUCCUGCUGAGUGUUUCCCAAGGAUAACAAGGAGGAUGAAGGUUCCCAGGAUGGGGGGUGGGGGGGGGGGUCUGCAGAUUUGAGAAAUGGGAGCAGCGGGUUGCAAAGGCUCCCGCGAGGAGAAAAGAAGCUUUUGUUCUGUCUCUCCCCCUGUGCCCCGGGUUUAAAUGAAAGCGCGGACGGAUUGAUCAGCGGCGUCGCUUUAAAAGGACCGCAAGCGAGGCUCUUCCGAGCGCGUGCCCGUGUCUGCCGUCCUGACUCGGGACGAAACACGCAAUUCUGUUGAUUUCGUUGCUUUCUUUCUUGCUUGCUUUCUUUUUUUUUUUUUUUUUUUUUCGAUUCCAUUGCUUUCUGAGUCUGACUAGGGAACUGGUUUUGUGCUAGUCAAUUGCUACUUGCGAGAACCUCGGAGCCGACGCGGUUCUUGGGGGAACGAGGGACGAGGUAGUGCGCAGAAGACGCAGAAAGAACCGUGUGGUCUUCCGAGAGCUGGCUGUCGGUGGGGAAGGACGCGGCAGGUCCUGUGUGUGAUUCCUGCCCCCGGCUGGGGUGGGGGAGGGCAGAUCUCACAGGCGCGGACAGCCGAGGCCCGGUGUCCUGGUCACCGAGCCGCUGCGCAAGGGACGCACAGAAAUAAGUGAGUGCCGACCGUGCGGACAGUCCCCGGGGCUGGAACGUUAGCCGUAGGCACCGCCUUGGGGGAUUCGGCCCGAGCGGUGACCCCCCUGCACCUGCCAGACAGACCCCCCUCCCCCCGCCCUUGCGCCCACGGGAGAUGCGUCCCGACCCCACACGGCCUCUUCUGACACUGAACCCCAAGGAAUGUUUUGCUGUGGGUGUUGGGGGCCAUUGUUCUCCAGGCUUACAAGAGAGGGGUGGAGGGAGGACCCCUAGCCCUCAGCUGACCCCCAGCUGCUGUCCCCCCAGCAGCUGCUAAGUCAGGCCUCUGUGCUGGUCCCAAAGGACCCCUCCUUCUUCCUUGUCUUGAAUCUAACCCCACCCACUCGGUGGGUCCAGCCCCCUUUCUCCUCACCUGGCAUUGACACCCCUCCCUGCAGAAAUAAAAACUCUCCCCCCCCCCCCGUCA